UACGGAGGAUCCAAGCGUUAUCCGGAUUUAUUGGGUUUAAAGGGUGCGUAGGCGGCCUAUUAAGUCAGGGGUGAAAGACGGUAGCUUAACUAUCGCAGUGCCUUUGAUACUGAUGGGCUUGAAUGGACUAGAGGUAGGCGGAAUGUGACAAGUAGCGGUGAAAUGCAUAGAUAUGUCACAGAACACUAAUUGCGAAGGCAGCUUACUAUGGUUUAAUUGACGCUGAGGCACGAAAGCGUGGGGAUCAAACAGG
rnacentral:rRNA from 1 species